CCUACGGGUGGCAGCAGUGAGGAAUAUUGGUCAAUGGACGCGAGCCUGAACCAGCCAAGUAGCGUGAAGGAUGACUGCCCUAUGGGUUGUAAACUUCUUUUAUAUGGGAAUAAAAUGUUCCACGUGUGGCUUUUUGUAUGUACUAUAUGAAUAAGGAUCGGCUAACUCCGUGCCAGCAGCCGCGGUAAUACGGAGGAUCCGAGCGUUAUCCGGAUUUAUUGGGUUUAAAGGGAGCGUAGGUGGAUUGUUAAGUCAGUUGUGAAAGUUUGCGGCUCAACCGUAAAAUUGCAGUUGAUACUGGCAGUCUUGAGUACAGUAGAGGUGGGCGGAAUUCGUGGUGUAGCGGUGAAAUGCUUAGAUAUCACGAAGAACUCCGAUUGCGAAGGCAGCUCACUGGACUGCCACUGACACUGAGGCUCGAAAGUGUGGGUAUCAAACAGGAUUAGAUACCCUUGUAGUC
rnacentral:rRNA from 1 species